GUGGGGAAUCUUCCGCAAUGGACGAAAGUCUGACGGAGCAACGCCGCGUGAGUGAAGAAGGUUUUCGGAUCGUAAAGCUCUUUCGUUAGGGACGAACGUGCUCUUUGUGAAUAAUGAGGAGUAAUGACGGUACCUAAAUAAGAAGCCACGGCUAACUACGUGCCAGCAGCCGCGGUAAUACGUAGGUGGCAAGCGUUGUCCGGAAUUAUUGGGCGUAAAGCGCGCGCAGGCGGGAUAUCAAGUCUGUCUUAAAAGUGCGAGGCUCAACCUCGUGAGGGGACAGAAACUGGUAUUGUUGAGUGUCGGGGAGGAAAUUGGAAUUCCAAGUGUAGCGGUGAAAUGCGAAGAGAUUUGGAAGAACACCAGUGGCGAAGGCGACUUUCUGGACGAAAACUGACGCUGAGGCGCGAAAGCCAGGGGAGCGAACGGGAUUAGAAACCCUGGUAGUCC
rnacentral:rRNA from 1 species